UGCAGUCUGCAACUCGACUGCAUGAAGUCGGAAUCGCUAGUAAUCGCGGAUCAGCAUGCCGCGGUGAAUACGUUCCCGGGCCUUGUACACACCGCCCGUCACACCAUGAGAGUCGGGAACACCCGAAGUCCGUAGUCUAACCGCAAGGGGGACGCGGCCGAAGGUGGGUUCGAUAAUUGGGGUGAAGUCGUAACAAGGUAAC
rnacentral:rRNA from 1 species